CUGCUGCCUCCCGUAGGAGUCUGGGCCGUGUCUCAGUCCCAGUGUGGGGGGCCUUCCUCUCAGAACCCCUACGCAUCGUCGCCACGGUGGGCCGUCACCCCGCCGUCUAGCUAAUGCGCCGCAUGCCCAUCCGCCACCGGAUCGCUCCUUUGGCCACCGGAGGAUGCCCUCCGGUGGCGUCACGGGGUAUUAGGCCGCGUUUCCGCGGGUUAUCCCCCUGUGGCGGCCAGGUUGCAUACGUGUUGCUCACCCGUGCGCCGGUCGCCGGG
rnacentral:rRNA from 1 species